AUUUAUAAAAGAAUUCAUGAAGAAUUACAAUUUCCCGUCACUAAUGGAGAUAAUACUGACAAUUUUAAAUCGUUUGGCAUUCACAAUUGCGGUCCAAUUCCUAAAUUAUUUGAAAAUACAUGCAUUCAAUAUGAAAAUUUACCAUCUUUAUUUUUCUCAAUUCAAGACAAUGAUAAUACCGUAAUAACUCAAGAGGGUCGAAUCGGUCUUAUUAAAAAUAUAAUUCUUUAUAAAAAUGCAUAUUAUUUUGCUGUUCAUUAUUUUGAAAAGUUAGAGCCAUUUUAUACUGUUUCAAACGAGCCGUCAACGACAUUUGGAGUCUUUUUAUGUUCGUCACUUAAUGACACUAAAGCUACGAUUAUAUCAUAUAAUGAAGUACAAAGUAAAUGCUAUCGAAUGCCAUUUUGGAUCAAUAAACCGUUUUUAGAUUUUACUGUAAAUGAUGAACAAAUUAAUAAUGUCUACGUUUCUAUAAUUUUAUCUUCCAAUCUCGAUAAUUAAAUACUUCCCCAUUCAAAAACCAAACAAUUUGCAGAUAUAUUAAACAUAACUGAAAAAAUAUAUCAUCAUAAAUAAAAAGGAAAUUUAGAAAACGGUUAUGUAUUUCUUCAAAAUAUUUUUUGCUUCACCACUGAUGCUCAUGGCUUAUAUAAAUGUUCUCAUCAGUAAAUUUCAGUACAUCUUUUUUGAUAUGGCGACAUCUAAUAAGAAGAUUAUAAAAAUGCUGAUAAACUUAGCCAGGACCGUACUGCUGUACAACUUUUCCGACAUCCGGAAGAUAAGUAAUAGGACAAAGCUGAACUUGAUUCGCAACUCUGACAUUUGGGCCUGCAAAUUUUGUUUAUCAAGAUAUCUACACAACAUGGAAGUUCAUCGGCGCAAGUUCCAAUGAAUGGCACACAGAAAUCACUGGUUCGAUUCUCUAUGGUUGAAGAUGUGCCACAAGUAAAAAAUUAGUAUGAUAAAAUAUGACGCCUCAAAC